UAUCCAGUAAAAAUCCAAUAAAACUUGCAAGUUCAGCUGUCAUUUUUGCUCACUCAAUUCUCUCCCUCUCUUUUGCUGGUUUCUUGCUAGUUUUUUCGCACGAAAACGCCGUCCAGUAAAAACCAGUAAAAUUUGGUGCUGGGUUUUACUGGAUAGUGCGUAUGCGAACAGGGCUAAUAACGUUGCGUGGAGUUCCUGCCAGUGAGUAGUGGGCUAACGCUGACGUCACAAUCGUCCGAGAAUAUGAAGUGUUAUACGUAUGUAUGUGUAUACUGGUAUAGCCCAGUAGCAGCAAAGUAACGCGUGGCUUUUGUGAUUGAUGGCGCAAUAAUUGAUAAUGAUUCGUUGCGUAGGUGACAGAACAUUUUUGACGACCGCGUCGUUAGCAGUUGCAGGUCGUAGAAAAUUCUUGCCCCAAAAUCUAGUCAAAGUUGGUGAAAUAGGACUACAAAUAGAUUACAUCAAACUGAAAGUAAAUUGGAAGCUAAUCACGAAAGAGUAUACACAUGACAAAUAUGUUGAAGAUCUUAAGGUUCCAGCGAUGUCUCAUAUUCACGACCAUUUACGGUGUACGCGGCAUUGGCAAUACGACGCCAAGAGAAGAUUCCCGAGUAGGUAAGUGAUCAUGAAUAUACAGAUUUUUAUUAAAUUUUUGGUUUUUCUAAGUACUCAUGAGUACUACUAGACCUACGGUGACCAUAUUUUUAAAAUAAAAACAG